rnacentral:lncRNA from 1 species
ACAAAAAUUUCAGAUUAUGAAGUCAUGCUUUCUGUAGUCCUUAAGGAAAUUUAGGGAACAGAGACCCAAAAUUGGUGGGAGAGGCUAGAGAAAAGAGAUGACCUGUGUCUCCAGAUGCAGUGUUGGGGGGUGAGGAGUGCAGGACCCAAAGGAGCAGGACGCCUGGAUGUGCAGUGUGCCACUGGUUGCUGGAAAAUAUGGAAAUGAAACCUACAGUAAGCAGUUGGUCUUCUAUGUGUCUGACUGGAUCUCAUCACAAAGGAAUCACUGUCUGUGACAGUCAAGUGGCUCUUAACUCCUUAACAAGACUAAUAAAACCUUACUUGUCCAGACAGGAUGCUACACAGAAAUUAAUGCCAUCUAGCAAAGUCCAAGCCAAAUGCCUCCCACCAGGACAGCCUCUCCUGGAAAGCUGUACCUGGCCCCACAGGCAUGUCUCUGGGUGGAGAAUUACUAGUGUGAAACUGGAUCAAGAAAACCUCAUUUAAGAUGGAGCCGGGAAGCCACAAGGGGGAGCUCUCAUGCCUCAGUGUUGGUCCUUGCCAAUGACAAACCCACCAGGAAGAAACAAACCUUGCAUGCCCAACAGGAAAAAAAACUUACACGUGACUACCACAGCAGGGGAAAGAAAGAUUUUCCCCUCACCCAGCAACAGCCCAGCCAAAGACUGACUGUUACAACUCAGCCAAUGAAAGCCACUACACUUCUGGUUCUCAGUUUAUUCCAAUGGAUUUUUUGUUUUUAAUAGCCUGUCCCUAAUUCCCUUUCUUCUCCUUUGUUCUGCAGGCUUGCCUAUGGUUUUGCCAUAGUGUACAUGUCCCAGACUGCAAUUCUCUGCUCUUCUCAAAUAAGUCCAUUUUUGCCAGUAAAAUAACUAAGUUUUAUUUUUCGGGUUAAUACUAGCAGAUUUUGACUCUGCUCACACCACUGGUAUGGUGUGUAUCCAUCAAGAGGUAACACAGAGCUGUAGCAAUGAUCUGGGAAAUGUAGUCAAUUCAUUUUAAAUCACCAAAGGGGGUUAAUCAGGCUCCAGAAGGUAGCUCUGAGUGGUUUGUUUUGUUGUCUGUCUUGGAGACAUUCAUGAGGUAUUUUCUACAUACAUUUCCCUUGUGUGGUGUAGUCUCUGGGAGUAACUCAGGAGCAACAAAACCAGAGGUCACAGAAAAUGUUAGGCCAUUCCAACUCAUUGCAGUUUGUCUGCAGCCAUGCACAAGACACAUCCCAGAAAUACAGAAAUGAACAAAGCAGAGGAAUCUUUCCCAUCCACUCUAUGUUUGCUCAUACAGACAUAGCCAGGCAGAUGACUCUGCGACCUCUCACCCCCGAUACUCUUAAGAUCCAUGUCGCUGGAGUAAACCAAUGUCCACAUUCUCUUACCCUAAACCAAGGGUGAAAAUGUUUGAAAUCUCAACCCCCUUCCAGGUUCUAUAGGAAUCCUUUAAUGGCCAAGCAAUAUCAUUCAACAAGUCAUCCCAUGAAAAUGCAAGA